rnacentral:lncRNA from 10 species
CUCUCUGUCUUCGUUGUUGUUAACGGGGAAACUUGCCGCCCGGUGGCUUUGCUUCAGGCGGAAGUCCGCGUGCUUUGAUACCCUCAGGGGGCACUUACAGGCUAGGUGGACACAGGGCUAGGGGUAAGAAUGCAGCAGUGAACAUGGUUCCUGCACUCAUGAAGCAAAUGUAUCCACUGUGGUACAAAAGAGACUGUAAAAAACAAACCCAAAUGGACAACAGGAAAAGACAGAAGCUGAUUGAGGUCCCAGCUUGGUAACAGUUUGAAGAGUUGCAGGACUGGCUGGAUGAGUACUGGCUGCAGCAAAUCAGGCUGCCAGGAUUCUUUAUGGCUGUUUCUGCUUCCACUACAGCUGAGUCAGAAAGGUCGCUGCCCCGUGGUGGCACUAGACGCAGUGGACCUGGCAAGCAAAUGUUUCCGCUAUUAGCUCUCAGCAACAGAGACUCAUUUAUGGUCACCUUGGAAAUCUGGGCUUAUCGAUCUACAGCCCAAGUCUGCUGAGAAGCUGGAGCUUACUAAAGGGGAAACCUGAGAGCUGUUCAAGCCCCAAAUAUUUUCCACUUCUGCGUCACCUCUGCUGUCUGUUAGCAGAGUGGAGGAGAAAAUACACAGCACAAACAACGUGAAAAAAUAGUUACUCUAUUCAUUAAAAGCUGUAACUUCCAGAUUGGACUUGAGAAGCAAUUAAGCAACAGAGGAACCUCAUCUACUAUCUGUAUUCAGGCAUGCUCAUGAGAACACGCUGCUCCAGCUGGACUUAGAGGAACCCGGUGCAUCACAGGCAUUCCUGACAGAGUCUCGUGGUCCUGCUGGUCCACUCAGUGGUACUCAGUCCUCCUCAUUCUCGGGGAUAGGUUCCAAGACCCCCAGGGGAUGCCUGAAACUGCGGAUGGUGAAAUGCCAUCACAUCCUUCAUACUCAUAUUUUUAGGACCAUAGGAGACCCAAUAUAUCUGUCUGUAUUGCAAUAAAUUACAAGGCUUUGACCAAAGACCCAGUUCCUAACUGACUGCUCUUGAAGCCAGCUCCACUGCAGAAUUAAGGAACAGAGAUGAGACUUGUCUGACAUGGGGAACUGUCACAGGAUAAUACCUUUGAAAAGCCUGGUUUUAGAACUUGCCUCUCUCAAUUUGAGGCAGUGUAUGUUUUUAAGUUUCUAAAAAUAAGAUAUUAUAAGAUUUGUAACAUUACAAUGACUGCCAAUGCAAAGAACCUCUGGGACUCUAGUGCAUCAGUGGAAUAUCAGCACAUUGAUGGACAUGUGGACUAUUUGGAUUCAGAAGACCUGGUUUGAGCUCAUCUCUGCUGCCAACUGUCUGUGUGACCUUAAGUAAAAUUAUCUCCUCUCUC